rnacentral:tRNA from 1 species
GCGGGUGUGGUUCAAUGGUAGAACAUCAGCUUCCCAAGCUGAGGACGGGGGUUCGAUUCCCCUCACCCGCU